rnacentral:miRNA from 2 species
UGUUGUUUUACCUAUUCCACC